AUUGAACGCUGGCGGCAGGCCUAACACAUGCAAGUCGAGCGAGCGGCGGACGGGGGCGUACUGUAUGGGGACUGCCCGAUAGCGGGGGAUAACUACUGGAUACGGUUGCUAAUACCGCAUACUAUCGGAUAACCCAUAUGGGAUUAGCUAUUUGGUGAGGUAAUGGCUCACUAAGGCGACGAUCCCUAGCUGGUCUGAGAGGAUGAUCAGCCAGACUGGGACUGAGACACGGCCCAGACUCCUACGGAGGCAGCAGUGGGGAAUAUUGCGCAAUGGGCGCAAGCCUGAUGCAGCCAUGCCGCGUGUAUGAAGAAGGCCUUAGGGUUGUAAAGUACUUUCAGUCGGGAGGCGUUACCGACAGAAGAAGCACCGGCUAACUCCGUGCCAGCAGCCGCGGUAAUAC
rnacentral:rRNA from 1 species